CCUACGGGUGGCAGCAGUGGGGAAUAUUGGACAAUGGGGGGAACCCUGAUCCGGCCAUGCCGCGUGUGUGAAGAAGGCCCUCGGGUUGUAAAGCACUUUCAGUGAGGAAGAACGCCUGGUGGUUAAUACCCAUCAGGAAAGACAUCACUCACAGAAGAAGCACCGGCUAACUCCGUGCCAGCAGCCGCGGUAAUACGGAGGGUGCGAGCGUUAAUCGGAAUUACUGGGCGUAAAGCGCGCGUAGGUGGCUUGAUAAGCCGGUUGUGAAAGCCCCGGGCUCAACCUGGGAACGGCAUCCGGAACUGUCAAGCUAGAGUGCAGGAGAGGAAGGUAGAAUUCCCGGUGUAGCGGUGAAAUGCGUAGAGAUCGGGAGGAAUACCAGUGGCGAAGGCGGCCUUCUGGACUGACACUGACACUGAGGUGCGAAAGCGUGGGUAGCAAACAGGAUUAGAUACCCUUGUAGUC
rnacentral:rRNA from 1 species